rnacentral:tRNA from 1 species
GCUUAGGUAGUGCAAUUGGUAGGCGUGUCAGUUUCACAAACUGAAGGUAGGGAGUUUUAGUCUCCCUCUAGGCA